UCUUUACUUCAGAGACUUUUAGGAACAGAAAGCCAGGAAGUGCUGCAAUUCAUUAUUUUUGUCUUUGGCAUGAGAUUUGGAUCUGCCUGUGUAGCCACUGACAUCCAGAAAAAGACCCAAAGAUAGACCUGAUAUUCAUGAGUAUGGGAGUAGGAUGGGCAAACAGCUGUGACCCUGCUCCUUCCCACUACGGCCUUUGAUCAUUGUAGCCACUGACUUUGCUGAAGACUACAAGAGAACAGGAGAGAUGUGGCCUCCAUGUUAUGGCACUCAGAGUCCCCCUCCCCCAUUUCCUGCAGGGAAGGACCCUUUGAAAUGGCAAACAGAAGAGAACUUUGUUUAAAGCAGACUCAUACUUUAAGAUUCACCAUGACUCACUGGUUUAUAAUUUUUAAAACAUACUUGGUAAUUCUGCAUUUCAUUCUUCUGAAUAUUGCCUCUAGAUAUCACAGUGCUAUUCUCUUUGCUAGCUGCAUAGAUUCAGGAGCCAAAAGCUUUGCAAAACAUGAUACAAAGAGGUAUUGAAUUUUCUUACACAACAUGUAAACCUUAACUUACUGAACUAAUGCAAUAUUGAUCCUAGCAGAACUAGAUUAAAUGGAGCUUCUUAUUCUCCUAUAUAAAUACCUACCAUACUUUGAGGGCUUUUUUCCCAUUUAAGUCUUGCAGACUUCUGAAUGAGAAUAAAUUACUUAAUAAUGUAUAAAGAGUCACCACACCAAAUAAUGUACUGUGGAGAAAACAGCUUGAACAAUAAUCCAAAGAGACAAUAUCAUUGCUUAUUUAGAUGGAAUGUGUCUCUAUUUCUUGUAGUGUCCUGCUAAUCCUUCCCAUUCAGGAGAGAGCGAACAAAUUCUCACUUAUGAUGUAUGUGGCAAAGGAAUACAUAAAAUUUCAACACAGAGAAAGCUCUCCCAAAAUCCAGACAGAAGAAUGCAUCUAAAUUCUGGACCGCUGAUGCUAGAAUGAUAGCCUGCUGGAGACUAGGCCUAGAAAUCUGUUGGUAGCCUCCAGCAAUAAGGAUUUGUGUAAUUUUGUUACCACCCCACAUGAGGAUCUCGUCCAAAUGUGUGUCACUUGGGGUAUGUCUACACUUUGAGCUGGUGGUGUUAUUCCCAGCUCCAAGGCACAUACUCUGAUCAAGCUAGGGCACAAAAAUAGAGUAGCUGUGCCAGCAUGAGCAUUAGAAGGGGCUAGCUGCCCCAAGUAUGUACCCGUCCCAGACCAGAGGCAUGUACUCAGGGUGGCUAGCCCCUCCUGUAACACUGCCAUAGCUACAAUCUAAUUUUUAGAGCCCUAGCUCAAUCACAGCUAGUGUGAAUAUGUCUUCUCAAGCUAGGAAUCACAUCCCCAGUCUGAAGGGUAGAUACACCCUUGGAAUUGAUGUAGACUCAUCAGAGGCCAUCUGACAUUGCCAAAAGAGCAGAGGCAUCUGUGCGAGCUCUCCCUGGAUUUAUCCACUUGGUUGUCAGUGCUCUAUCUGUCCCUGAGAUUCCUGCCUCCUUUCUCAGCCAGUCUGCAUGGGACUGGUGUGAUCAUAGUGGAAAGGAAUUCAUUAUAUUUAGGCUAAAGGGUUGAAGAGGCAGCAAAAAAUUAUUUUACAGAACCAUCCUAAAAUACAGACACUAGUUCUGCCCGUUCCAGUUUAAAGCUAGAUGUUCUGAGUAUAUACAUGUCAGGGGUUCAGCAUUCACAGUGCAUGCCUAGUGGUUUAACACUCUCACUAGAAAGUCUAUUUCUAGUUGUGCUUCCUUUUUCCUUCUGUAAAGAUGAAGCCACAGAAGAGAUGUUGAGCUGAACUAUUGAGGCCAUCAGACUCAUCUCAAUGUUGCAUACUUCAUAGUUGCCUUUCACAUUGGCCUAAGGGGCCAAAUUCAUAUCUUGCUUAAAUCCACUGGAAAAAAGUGUCAGUGAUAUCCAUCUUAAAAUACUAAUUUAAAGUGUAAAUUAAUUAUCCAUCUUAAUGAACAUUAAAAUCUGCUUUUUAAAGUAUACUGUAUGCCAUAUAAAGUAGGGCUGUUGAUUAAUCGCAGUUAAUUCACGUGAUUAACUCAAAAAAUUAAUUGUGAUGAAAAAAA